CUUUAUUCAAAUUUGUUUGGAUAAUCACAGGUUUAUAUUGUCUACAUUGGAGAGCACCUCGGGGAAAAGACUUAUCACGAAAUUGAAGAUGCUCAUCACUCCUAUCUACUAUCUAUAAAGAGUUCCAAACAGGAAGCUAAAGCUUCUCUGGUUUAUAGUUACAAGAAGGUCAUCAAUGGCUUCUCUGCAUGGCUCACCCCAGAUCAAGCUGCCAAGUUAGCUGAGAGGGAGGAAGUGAUUUCGGUUUUCAAAAGCGAGCCCAAAAGAUACAGUCUUCAAACAACAAGAUCAUGGGAUUUUGUGAACUUGCUUGAACAACAAGGACAACAUGAUUUCACCAACACAAACAAUCAACAACUAUUGGACAAAGCCAACUAUGGAAAAGAUGUCAUUGUUGGAGUCUUGGAUAGUGGUGAGACAAGAGAGGUCCAGACCCAGCCUCAGUGAAGUUUGUAAGGAACAACCAAAGUUUUGAAGAGUCAGCCCUGGCGUGUCACGCACGAGGCGCGUCUUUGCCCUUUUGCCUUUCUAUGUAUUUUGUCAUCUUGGCGAGGACUUUGAUAUACGUCUGUGUAUAGUUUUGUUUGGCUGACUUAGAUUUGAAUGAUCCUGUCUGUACAAAACCUUAUGCUACUAUACUUUCUGCUGUGAGUUAUUAACAUAUGUAAA